rnacentral:sRNA from 1 species
CUCUUCGUCAUCUGGGGAGUAGCCAGUUGCGGCGCCGGUUUUGAAAGGGCGUUGCAAGCUCCUGCGUCAACAUACUCGGCCGAGAGGUCGUGGCGCAGGGGGAACGGGAUCACCGUUC